rnacentral:rRNA from 1 species
AUUGAACGCUGGCGGCAGGCCUAACACAUGCAAGUCGAGCGGGGUUUUCGGGCCUAGCGGCGGACGGGUGAGUAAUGCGUAGGAAGCUACCCGAUAGAGGGGGAUACCAGUUGGAAACGACUGUUAAUACCGCAUAAUGUCUACGGACCAAAGUGUGGGACCUUCGGGCCACAUGCUAUCGGAUGCGCCUACGUGGGAUUAGCUAGUUGGUGAGGUAAUGGCUCACCAAGGCGACGAUCCCUAGCUGGUUUGAGAGGAUGAUCAGCCACACUGGAACUGAGACACGGUCCAGACUCCUACGGGAGGCAGCAGUGGGGAAUAUUGGACAAUGGGCGCAAGCCCGAUCCAGCCAUGCCGCGUGUGUGAAGAAGGCCUUCGGGUUGUAAAGCACUUUCAGCGAGGAGGAAGGGGUGAGUGUUAAUAGUACUCAUCUUUGACGUUACUCGCAGAAGAAGCACCGGCUAACUCUGUGCCAGCAGCCGCGGUAAGAC